rnacentral:rRNA from 1 species
AGACUGAACGCUGGCGGCAUGCCUAACACAUGCAAGUCGAACGGCAGCACAGCCCCGCAAGGGUGGUGGCGAGUGGCGGACGGGUGAGGAAUACAUCGGAAUCUGCCCUGUUGUGGGGAUAACCCAUCGAAAGGUGGCUAAUACCGCAUGAGAAGGUGACGUGAAAGGC